GAUGAACGCUGGCGGCGUGCCUAAUACAUGCAAGUCGAGCGAACGGGCGAGAAGCUUGCUUUUCUGAUGUUAGCGGCGGACGGGUGAGUAACACGUGGAUAACCUACCUAUAAGACUGGGCUAACUUCGGGAAACCGGAGCUAAUACCGGAUAAUAUUUUGAACCGCAUGGUUCAAAAGUGAAAGACGGUCUUGCUGUCACUUAUAGAUGGAUCCGCGCUGCAUUAGCUAGUUGGUAAGGUAACGGCUUACCAAGGCAACGAUGCAUAGCCGACCUGAGAGGGUGAUCGGCCACACUGGAACUGAGACACGGUCCAGACUCCUACGGGAGGCAGCAGUAGGGAAUCUUCCGCAAUGGGCGAAAGCCUGACGGAGCAACGCCGCGUGAGUGAUGAAGGUCUUCGGAUCGUAAAACUCUGUUAUUAGGGAAGAACAUAUGUGUAAGUAACUGUGCACAUCUUGACGGUACCUAAUCAGAAAGCCACGGCUAACUACGUG
rnacentral:rRNA from 1 species